UUUCAGAGUGCAAUGUCCAUACCAAAUUGGACGUUUUUCCAAUCAAAAAACUGUGCAAAGAAAGGACUAGAAAGGGAGUAGCAAAGGUCCAGGUAUUUUGGAGUCCUUGUCCAGCAUGUGGCAAAACCUGGCCCUCAUCUUGGGAAACCACAGAACAUGUGCAAUUUAGAACACACAUGCACACACACACUUGACCACAACAGGAGCUGGUGG